UACAGAGGUGGCAAGCGUUGUUCGGAAUUACUGGGCGUAAAGGGCGCGUAGGCGGUCUUUUAAGUCUCGUGUGAAAUCCCUCGGCUCAACUGAGGAACUGCACGGGAUACUGGAUGACUUGAGUUCGGGAGAGGGAAGCGGAAUUCCGGGUGUAGCGGUGAAAUGCGUAGAUAUCUGGAGGAAUACCGGUGGCGAAGGCGGCAUCCUGGACCGGCAUUGACGCUGAUGAGCGAAAGCUAGGGGAGCAAACGGG
rnacentral:rRNA from 1 species